rnacentral:tRNA from 1 species
AGGUAAUAAUUUAUAAUAGAAUAUUUAAUUUGCAUUUAAAAAGAACAUAGGUUUACC